rnacentral:rRNA from 1 species
ACUCGGCAAAAUGACCCCGUAACUUCGGGAGAAGGGGUGCUCUUUAGGGUUAACGCCCAGAAGAGCCGCAGUGAAUAGGCCCAAGCGACUGUUUAUCAAAAACACAGGUCUCUGCUAAACCGUAAGGUGAUGUAUAGGGGCUGACGCCUGCCCGGUGCUGGAAGGUUAAGAGGAGUGGUUAGCUUCUGCGAAGCUACGAAUCGAAGCCCCAGUAAACGGCGGCCGUAACUAUAACGGUCCUAAGGUAGCGAAAUUCCUUGUCGGGUAAGUUCCGACCCGCACGAAAGGCGUAACGAUUUGGGCACUGUCUCAACGAGAGACUCGGUGAAAUCAUAGUACCUGUGAAGAUGCAGGUUACCCGCGACAGGACGGAAAGACCCCGUGGAGCUUUACUGUAGCCUGAUAUUGAAAUUCGGCACAGCUUGUACAGGAUAGGUAGGAGCCUUUGAAACGUGAGCGCUAGCUUACGUGGAGGCGCUGGUGGGAUACUACCCUAGCUGUGUUGGCUUUCUAACCCGCACCACUUAUCGUGGUGGGAGACAGUGUCAGGCGGGCAGUUUGACUGGGGCGGUCGCCUCCUAAAAGGUAACGGAGGCGCUCAAAGGUUCCCUCAGAAUGGUUGGAAAUCAUUCAUAGAGUGUAAAGGCAUAAGGGAGCUUGACUGCGAGACCUACAAGUCGAGCAGGGUCGAAAGACGGACUUAGUGAUCCGGUGGUUCCGCAUGGAAGGGCCAUCGCUCAACGGAUAAAAGCUACCCCGGGGAUAACAGGCUUAUCUCCCCCAAGAGUUCACAUCGACGGGGAGGUUUGGCACCUCGAUGUCGGCUCAUCGCAUCCUGGGGCUGUAGUCGGUCCCAAGGGUUGGGCUGUUCGCCCAUUAAAGCGGUACGCGAGCUGGGUUCAGAACGUCGUGAGAC